rnacentral:rRNA from 1 species
UGCUUUCCAUCAUGCCUACGUCCCUUGGAGGAGGGCAUCAUAGAGGGUGAUAAUCCCGUACAUGGNAUGGAGCGCCCGAAGCUUUGUGAUACGCUUUCUAAGAGUCGAGUUGUUUGGGAAUGCAGCUCAAAAUGGGUGGUAAAUGCCAUCUAAGGCUAAAUAUUGGGGAGAGACCGAUAGCGAACAAGUACAGUGAUGGAAAGAUGAAAAGAACUUUGAAAAGAGAGUUAAACAGUACGUGAAAUUGCCAAAAGGGAAGGGUAGGAGGUCAGAGAUGCGGCCUGGGAUUCAGCCUUGCUUUUGCUUGGUGUUUUUCCCAGAUUGCAGGCCAACGUCGGUUUUGGGCACUGGAGAAGGGUAGGAGGAACGUGGCACCUCUCGGGGUGUGUUAUAGCCUCCUACUGGAUACAGCGACCGAGACCGAGGACAGCAGCGUACUCGCAAGAGCGGGCCUUCGGGCACCUUUACGCUUAGGGCGUUGG